ACGGAGCUGAAGAUUCCUGUUGCCUCAUGAUGUAGUAGUCACCCUGGUGAUGCUGCUGUAAACAAACCUACCAUGCUGCCAGUCAUAGAAAAGUCUAGCACCUACGGACAUGAGCAUAGAAGUACACAGUGCUUGAUGAUGGCAAAGGCGGGUUCUUCAGGAGGUGUCCUCCUAGGAGCUGGCAGCUCCAUGCCUGUCGUUGACCCUUGACGGCCUUCCAGAGGGACAAGAGGAGGAGGCGAAAGACAGUGACGUGUGUGAUCCUGACUCUGUGUAGGCUGAGGCUAAGGUCUGCAGUGAGAGUGGAGUCAGCGUUUCUUCUUGCUAUUGAGCUUCGGGAUAGGCAUCUAUCACUUGCGCUCACACAGUUCCUUCCGUUGAACAUCUGCAAGGUGACACAGAUUUGAGGGACCGUCACACUUGAUUAGAGCCCACUUGGGUGCUCCUGGAACCUGGAACAGACAAACUCCAAGAGGAGAUUGAAGAUUUUCCGCAUCCUGGGACUCCAGGCCGAAUCACUUUGUGUGGCCUCGGAGGGAACACCUAUCCAAUGCUGCCAAGAAAUAAACCUUUCAGGG
rnacentral:lncRNA from 1 species